GGCAGUUCUCAGACGUAGGAAAUCAGUCAGCCCCGAAGCAGUAGUUAAGCCGGAGGGCUCGGAAGAACGGCACCUUUUCUUUCUCGAAAAAGUUAUAUGGGGGCUGAAUGAGCUUCUGGAGGCUUGUUUACCGUCUUUUAUUGUCACACAGGAAAAGAAACUGCCUUGUCUCCCUUCCGGGAAUUCUCUAAGACUGUUCUUACGUCUGUUGCUAGAUUAUCGUCCAAAAGUGUUAAUGCCCAAGUGACUGACAUCAACUCCAAGGGACUGGAAUUGAGGAAGACUGUUACUACAGUUGAGACUCAGAACUUGGAAGGCCUGCAUCAUGAUGGCCAAUUCUGCCAUAAGCCCUGUCCUCCAGGUGAAAGGAAAGCUAGGGACUGCACAGUCAAUGGGGAUGAACCAGACUGCGUGCCCUGCCAAGAAGGGAAGGAGUACACAGACAAAGCCCAUUUUUCUUCCAAAUGCAGAAGAUGUAGAUUGUGUGAUGAAGGACAUGAUGUGAACAUGGAAUCGUCAAGGAAUGCACACUCACCAGCAACACCAAAUGCAAAGAGGAAGGUAAUUUUUUUUUUACGGUUAUAUUCUCCUUUCCCCCAUCCCCAUGGAAAGAUGUGAAGA
rnacentral:sRNA from 1 species